UGACCAGGGAUGGGAAUCGAACCCACAGUGUUCCGCUUACCGGGCAGAUGCCAUGUCCACUAGGCUACCUUGGAC